AACCGACCAAUGAGCGCGGAGGGGCGGGGCUGGACGAGGGGCGGGGCCGUCCCGGAGUCUGUGGAGUUGGCUGCCGGUGGCGUGAGGUUUUCGAAAAUCAAACAACGCUCUUCCAGCUGGAUGGACUGGGGCGGAGCGGGCUCGUUGUAUCCUCAGGCUGUAGCAGCACUAGGGUUGACAAGUCCGCACAAAUCUCCAGACACAGCCCGAGUAAAGGCAGAGGACAGCAGAUGGCUGCUGGCGAGCUCACCCAGGGCACAGCUUGGAACGUCCCUGAGGAGUACUGAUUCACAACUGCUCUUUGGAACUGCCUAGCUGAAAGGGUGUCCGUCCCCUGGUAUAAGAACUUCUUCAGCGUUCCAGUGUAGACUGAAGACCAGCAGCUCUCUAAGAAUCCUCCAGAACUGCAGCACCUGAUUGAUACUGCUGAGAUUCAGUCUCGUGGACUGAACAAUUGCUGGAUUCUUGGAUUUUCCAUUGGGAGACAGUCAUUGCUGGACUACUAGGGCCAAAGACUGUAAGCCAGACUAAUAAGUCAUCCUAUCAGUUAUGUUCUAUUAGCGAACCUUGAUGAAUACAAGUACAUUGUUAUUUUGGAUGGCUGGGGAGAUAGCUUACCUUCCAGGCAUGACGACCUGAGUUUUGAUGCUUACCAACCCAGUUAAUUUUAUGUCUUCGAUAUUCACCUUAAUAGUUGUUAGUUGUGUGUGUGUGUGUCUGUAGUUAAGCCUGGAACAAAAGAGAAAUUAUGAAGACUUCAAUAUGCUGAGAUAGUAAGAAAGCCUUUGAGACUACUA